rnacentral:rRNA from 1 species
ACACUCCUGCGGGAGGCAGCAGUGGGGAAUUUUGGACAAUGGGCGAAAGCCUGAUCCAGCAAUGCCGCGUGAGUGAAGAAGGCCUUCGGGUUGUAAAGCUCUUUUGUCAGGGAAGAAACGGUGAAAGCUAAUAUCUUUUGCUAAUGACGGUACCUGAAGAAUAAGCACCGGCUAACUACGUGCCAGCAGCCGCGGUAAUACGUAGGGUGCAAGCGUUAAUCGGAAUUACUGGGCGUAAAGCGUGCGCAGGCGGUUUUGUAAGUCUGAUGUGAAAUCCCCGGGCUCAACCUGGGAAUUGCAUUGGGGACUGCAAGGCUAGAAUCUGGCAGAGGGGGGUAGAAUUCCACGUGUAGCAGUGAAAUGCGUAGAUAUGUGGAGGAACACCGAUGGCGAAGGCAGCCCCCUGGGUCAAGAUUGACGCUCAUGCACGAAAGCGUGGGGAGCAAACAGGAUUAGAAACCCCUGUAGUCCC